rnacentral:rRNA from 1 species
UACGUAGGGUGCGAGCGUUGUCCGGAAUUAUUGGGCGUAAAGGGCUCGUAGGCGGUCUGUCGCGUCAGGAGUGAAAACUCGGGGCUUAACCCCGAGCCUGCUUCUGAUACGGGCAGACUAGAGGUAUGCAGGGGAGAACGGAAUUCCUGGUGUAGCGGUGAAAUGCGCAGAUAUCAGGAGGAACACCGGUGGCGAAGGCGGUUCUCUGGGCAGUACCUGACGCUGAGGAGCGAAAGUGUGGGGAGCGAACAGG